rnacentral:rRNA from 1 species
AGUGAACGCUGGCGGCAGGCCUAAUACAUGCAAGUCGAACGGCAGCACAGCAGAGCUUGCUCUGUGGGUGGCGAGUGGCGGACGGGUGAGGAAUACAUGGGAAUCUGCCCAGUCGUGGGGGAUAACGUAGGGAAACUUACGCUAAUACCGCAUGCGCCCUUCGGGGGAAAGCCGGGGACCUUCGGGCCUGGCGCGAUUGGAUGAGCCCAUGUCGGAUUAGCUAGUUGGCGGGGUAAUGGCCCACCAAGGCGACGAUCCGUAGCUGGUCUGAGAGGAUGAUCAGCCACACUGGAACUGAGACACGGUCCAGACUCCUACGGGAGGCAGCAGUAGGGAAUAUUGGACAAUGGGCGCAAGCCUGAUCCAGCCAUGCCGCGUGAGUGAAGAAGGCCCUCGGGUUGUAAAGCUCUUUUGUCCGGAAGAAAAGCGCCGGGUUAAUACCCUAGUGUCCUGACGGUACCGGAAGAAUAAGCACCGGCUAACUUCGUGCCAGCAGCCG